UCUUACCGUCGAAGACCUUGAAACGACGACGGCCACGACAUCCUAGAUUUCUUCAGUCCGGGUCGGUGCCCCGUGUCCACCGCAGAAAGGGGACUUUCAGGGCAGACUGCUUUCUUUCCCUCCUCGUCAACACACUUGCAGCUCAAGCCCAUUCUUCGGGAAACUAACAGUGUGGGGAAUGCAAUCUCUCCUGCUUUAACAGCAGAAAUGUAAUCUCAGAAACAAGGUGACUGAAAACAGUAGUGGCAGUUCCUACUCGAGGUCAUGGGGGAGAUUAUAUUCCAGCAUGCAGUGGGAGUCACCUUCACCAAACAAUACACCAGAUGGGCAACCUUUUACGUUAGCACACCUUGCAUGAAUGUUUGUCCCUGGACUCAGUAACUUUGUAAACAUUACACAUCUUUUGACAUGUAAAUCUGUCAGUAAUCAAUAUGACAAGAGCGCUUUA